CUCCCGAGAGUUCCGAAAAGCAACUUCCGUUAGUCUUGAUCUCUAAGGCGUUUUGUUUUCAUCAAAUAUGGCGACGAUGAAGAAGCGUUUGAGGUCGACACGAUCAGAAGAAUUUCAGGUGUGAACAUAAACAGAAAAUAUGCUAGAAGAUGUUCCAUCGGAAUUGGACAGUUUGGUAGAGGAAGCAGACCUACAGAAAGAGGAAGAAGAAGAGACAUCACUUCGAAGGAAAAAACAUCUUCAUCUUCAUGAAUAAAAUAGACAGAGGCAGAACUUAAUGAGGUGCAUGAAUAUAUCAGAGAAUGUCUGAACACAAACACCAGUACAGGAAGAAAAAGAUUGCAAUAUGGGAUUAGAGAAGAACAGACCAAAUAGAAGUGUCAUACAGUUUAGGCCAAGGAAGACCCUGAACAAGAACGUAUAGAACAUAAUUCAGAAACAAUAAUAAAACCAUUUGACAUUUUUUGUAAUCUAGGAUUAAAGCCCCACGUGUGAAGUUUUGUCAUGUAAUGAUCUCUGACUCUUAACAUUAUUUUUUCUUCUGUUCUAAUUAUGUACAGUGAAUAUCUGAUCAAAUAUUUUGAUCUAGCUUUGUGGAAAAGAUUUUGACAGUGUAUAAGUUUUGACACGAAGUAGUUCAUUUCUUAACUUGAGGUAAUGGUGAAUAUCACAAGUCAUUACUAUUACUGUAGGGAAUAUAUGCAUUGUAUUUGUAUUCCAUGGGAAACUGAAUAGUAGCAUGUAAUCAGUUUGAGAUUUUUUUCGUACGAUGGAAGACAAUUUUCAUUGACCUAACAAAUGAUUGGUCUAUGAUGAUAUAAGCAAUUUUAUGGAUUUUCGAUACAUUUAAUGUGAAUGUCCUUAGAUAAGAGCAACUCGUAGCCAAUAUGUACGCAAGGAUGCGAUCUAUUUAACAGUUUGAUAAAUAUAUAAUUAUAUAUAUAUAUCAAUAUCAUGGACUUUCUUCUGCUGAUGAAAAUUCCAUUAAUAAUGCAACUGAUAGGAAAUAUGUACCCUGGAAUCUGUUUUAUUAAGGAUUAUGUGGCCUUCUAUAUAUGUGUCAAUGCUUAGAUAAAUGCUGUUCUGUAUUUUAAAGUUAGAAAUAAAAAAGAGACUAUUUCUUAA